UUUGGUUAAGUUAGAAAGGGCGCACGGUGGAUGCCUUGACACUAGGAGUCGAUGAAGGACGGGACUAACGCCGAUAUGCUUCGGGGAGCUGUAAGUAAGCUUUGAUCCGAAGAUUUCCGAAUGGGGAAACCCACCAUACGUAAUGGUAUGGUAUCCUUAUCUGAAUACAUAGGGUAAGGAAGACAGACCCAGGGAACUGAAACAUCUAAGUACCUGGAGGAAGAGAAAGCAAAUGCGAUUUCCUGAGUAGCGGCGAGCGAAACGGAACAUAGCCCAAACCAAGAGGCUUGCCUCUUGGGGUUGUAGGACAUUCUAUACGGAGUUACAAAGGAACGAGGUAGACGAAGCGACCUGGAAAGGUCCGUCGUAGAGGGUAACAACCCCGUAGUCGAAACUUCGUUCUCUCUUGAAUGUAUCCUGAGUACGGCGGAACACGUGAAAUUCCGUCGGAAUCUGGGAGGACCAUCUCCCAAGGCUAAAUACUCCCUAGUGAUCGAUAGUGAACCAGUACCGUGAGGGAAAGGUGAAAAGCACCCCGGAAGGGGAGUGAAAGAGAUCCUGAAACCGUGUGCCUACAAAUAGUCAGAGCCCGUUAACGGGUGAUGGCGUGCCUUUUGUAGAAUGAACCGGCGAGUUACGAUCCCGUGCGAGGUUAAGCUGAAGAGGCGGAGCCGCAGCGAAAGCGAGUCUGAAUAGGGCGUUUAGUACGUGGUCGUAGACCCGAAACCAGGUGAUCUACCCAUGUCCAGGGUGAAGUUCAGGUAACACUGAAUGGAGGCCCGAACCCACGCACGUUGAAAAGUGCGGGGAUGAGGUGUGGGUAGCGGAGAAAUUCCAAUCGAACCUGGAGAUAGCUGGUUCUCCCCGAAAUAGCUUUAGGGCUAGCCUUAAGUGUAAGAGUCUUGGAGGUAGAGCACUGAUUGGACUAGGGGUCCUCAUCGGAUUACCGAAUUCAGUCAAACUCCGAAUGCCAAUGACUUAUCCUUAGGAGUCAGACUGCGAGUGAUAAGAUCCGUAGUCAAAAGGGAAACAGCCCAGACCGCCAGCUAAGGUCCCAAAGUGUGUAUUAAGUGGAAAAGGAUGUGGAGUUGCUUAGACAACUAGGAUGUUGGCUUAGAAGCAGCCACCAUUUAAAGAGUGCGUAAUAGCUCACUAGUCGAGUGACUCUGCGCCGAAAAUGUACCGGGGCUAAAUACACCACCGAAGCUGCGGAUUGAUACCAAUGGUAUCAGUGGUAGGGGAGCGUUCUAAGGACAGUGAAGUCAGACCGGAAGGACUGGUGGAGUGCUUAGAAGUGAGAAUGCCGGUAUGAGUAGCGAAAGACGGGUGAGAAUCCCGUCCACCGAAUGCCUAAGGUUUCCUGAGGAAGGCUCGUCCGCUCAGGGUUAGUCAGGACCUAAGCCGAGGCCGACAGGCGUAGGCGAUGGACAACAGGUUGAUAUUCCUGUACCACCUCUUUAUCGUUUGAGCAAUGGAGGGACGCAGAAGGAUAGAAGAAGCGUGCGAUUGGUUGUGCACGUCCAAGCAGUUAGGCUGAUAAGUAGGCAAAUCCGCUUAUCGUGAAGGCUGAGCUGUGAUGGGGAAGCUCCUUAUGGAGCGAAGUCUUUGAUUCCCCGCUGCCAAGAAAAGCUUCUAGCGAGAUAAAAGGUGCCUGUACCGCAAACCGACACAGGUAGGCGAGGAGAGAAUCCUAAGGUGUGCGAGAGAACUCUGGUUAAGGAACUCGGCAAAAUGACCCCGUAACUUCGGGAGAAGGGGUGCUUUCUUAACGGAAAGCCGCAGUGAAUAGGCCCAAGCGACUGUUUAGCAAAAACACAGCUCUCUGCGAAGCCGUAAGGCGAAGUAUAGGGGGUGACACCUGCCCGGUGCUGGAAGGUUAAGGAGAGGGGUUAGCGUAAGCGAAGCUCUGAACUGAAGCCCCAGUAAACGGCGGCCGUAACUAUAACGGUCCUAAGGUAGCGAAAUUCCUUGUCGGGUAAGUUCCGACCCGCACGAAAGGUGUAACGAUUUGGGCACUGUCUCAACCAGAGACUCGGUGAAAUUAUAGUACCUGUGAAGAUGCAGGUUACCCGCGACAGGACGGAAAGACCCCGUGGAGCUUUACUGUAGCCUGAUAUUGAAUUUUGGUACAGUUUGUACAGGAUAGGCGGGAGCCAUUGAAACCGGAGCGCUAGCUUCGGUGGAGGCGCUGGUGGGAUACCGCCCUGACUGUAUUGAAAUUCUAACCUACGGGUCUUAUCGACCCGGGAGACAGUGUCAGGUGGGCAGUUUGACUGGGGCGGUCGCCUCCUAAAGUGUAACGGAGGCGCCCAAAGGUUCCCUCAGAAUGGUUGGAAAUCAUUCGUAGAGUGCAAAGGCAUAAGGGAGCUUGACUGCGAGACCUACAAGUCGAGCAGGGACGAAAGUCGGGCUUAGUGAUCCGGUGGUUCCGCAUGGAAGGGCCAUCGCUCAACGGAUAAAAGCUACCCCGGGGAUAACAGGCUUAUCUCCCCCAAGAGUCCACAUCGACGGGGAGGUUUGGCACCUCGAUGUCGGCUCAUCGCAUCCUGGGGCUGUAGUCGGUCCCAAGGGUUGGGCUGUUCGCCCAUUAAAGCGGUACGCGAGCUGGGUUCAGAACGUCGUGAGACAGUUCGGUCCCUAUCCGUCGUGGGCGUAGGAAAUUUGAGAGGAGCUGUCCUUAGUACGAGAGGACCGGGAUGGACGCACCGCUGGUGUACCAGUUGUUCUGCCAAGGGCAUAGCUGGGUAGCUAUGUGCGGAAGGGAUAAGUGCUGAAAGCAUCUAAGCAUGAAGCCCCCCUCAAGAUGAGAUUUCCCAUAGCGUAAGCUAGUAAGAUCCCUGAAAGAUGAUCAGGUUGAUAGGUUCGAGGUGGAAGCAUGGUGACAUGUGGAGCUGACGAAUACUAAUAGAUCGAGG
rnacentral:rRNA from 1 species